GCCUGGGUGGCUCAAUCGGUUAAGCAUCUGACUUCAGCUCAGGCCAUGAUCUCACAGCUCGUGAGUUCGAGCCCCACGUCGGGCU
rnacentral:tRNA from 1 species